UCCGAAUUGGUGUAGCGGCUAACAUUUGACGUUUUCAUCUGGUAUUUUGAAUCGGAAAAGACCGUCAAGCCCGGGGUUCGAUUCCCCGAUUCGGAG